rnacentral:precursor_RNA from 9 species
CAGUAUCAGCAAUUCCAAGCUGUCUUGUUCAGUGGUUUUCCGUUGCACAUGCGUACAUAGCAUGCAUGCGCAACGGGAGAUCAACGGAUAAGAUAGUUAUUUCAUCAAAAUCACCCA